UGGGGAAUCUUGGGCAAUGGGCGCAAGCCUGACCCAGCCAUGCCGCGUGUGUGAAGAAGGCCUUCGGGUUGUAAAGCACUUUCAGUGGCGAAGAAAAGCCGGCGGUGAAUAGCCGCGGGUCUUGACGUUAACCACAGAAGAAGCACCGGCUAACUCCGUGCCAGCAGCCGCGGUAAUACGGAGGGUGCGAACGUUAAUCGGAAUUACUGGGCGUAAAGCGCGCGUAGGCGGUUCGGUAAGUGGGGUGUGAAAGCCCCGGGCUCAACCUGGGAAUUGCAUUCCAAACUGCCGGACUCGAGUAUGGUAGAGGGAGGUAGAAUUUCCUGUGUAGCGGUGGAAUGCGUAGAUAUAGGAAGGAAUACCAAUGGCGAAGGCAGCCUCCUGGACCAAUACUGACGCUGAGGUGCGAAAGCGUGGGGAGCAAACAGGAUUAGAUACCCCCGUAGUCC
rnacentral:rRNA from 1 species